GAUGAACGCUAGCGGCAGGCUUAACACAUGCAAGUCGAGGGGCAGCGGGUGUAGCAAUACAUGCCGGCGACCGGCGCAAGGGUGCGUAACGCGUGAGCAAUCUGCCCGUAUCAGGGGGAUAAGCGAUGGAAACGUCGUCUAAUACCGCAUAACACAUUGGAUGGCAUCGUCCGAUGUUGAAAGCUUCGGUGGAUACGGAUGAGCUCGCGAGACAUUAGUUAGUUGGCGGGGUAACGGCCCACCAAGACCGCGAUGUCUAGGGGAACUGAGAGGUUGGUCCCCCACACUGGAACUGAGACACGGUCCAGACUCCUACGGGAGGCAGCAGUGAGGAAUAUUGGACAAUGGCCGGAAGGCUGAUCCAGCCAUGCCGCGUGAAGGAUAAGGUCCUAUGGAUUGUAACUUCUUUUGAGAGGGAGCAAUAAGGUGUACGCGUACACCGAUGAGAGUACCUUUCGAAUAAGCAUCGGCUAACUCCGUGCCAGCAGCCGCGGUAAUACGGAGGAUGCGAGCGUUAUCCGGAUUUAUUGGGUUUAAAGGGUGCGUAGGCGGUUUAUCAAGUCAGCGGUGAAACGCAAGGGCUUAACCCUUGACCUGCCGUUGAAACUGGUGGACUGGAAUGCGGAUGCUGUGGGAGGAAUGUGUGGUGUAGCGGUGAAAUGCAUAGAUAUCACACAGAACACCGAUUGCGAAGGCAUCUCACAAAUCCGUGAUUGACGCUGAGGCACGAAAGUGUGGGGAUCAAACA
rnacentral:rRNA from 1 species